AUACCAUGGUGAGGACAAGCCCUAGUGUAUUAUUUCAUACUUUCUCAUGCGUCACAAUCUCUCUUCUUCGCCUUGCUUAAAUCUAGCAAUCUCAUUCCUUAUUCU
rfam:Arabis alpina cultivar Pajares chromosome 7, whole genome shotgun sequence.